AGCGAACGCUGGCGGCAGGCUUAACACAUGCAAGUCGAACGCUCGUAGCAAUACGGGUGUGGCAGACGGGUGAGUAACGCGUGGGAACAUGCCCUUUAGUUCGGAAUAACUCAGGGAAACUUGAGCUAAUACCGGAUAAGCACGAGGGGGGAAAGAUUUAUAGCCGAAGGCUUGGCCCGCGUCCGGUUAGCUAGUUGGUGAUGCAAUGGCUCACCAAGGCGACGAUCGGUAGCUGGUCUGAGAAGAUGAUCAGCCACACUGGGACUGAGACACGACCGAGACUACUACGGGAGGAAGCAGUGGGGAAUAUUGGACAAUGGGGGCAACCCUGAUCCAGCCAUGCCGCGUGAGUGAUGAAGGACCUAGGGUUGUAAAGCUCUUUCGGCGGGGACGAUAAUGACGGUACCCGCAGAAGAAGCCCCGGCUAACUUCGUGCCAGCCGCCGCCGUAAAAC
rnacentral:rRNA from 1 species